GGCCUUGACAUACUAAGAACUUUCCAGAGAUGGAUUGGUGCCUUCGGGAACUUAGAUACAGGUGCUGCAUGGCUGUCGUCAGCUCGUGUCGUGAGAUGUUGGGUUAAGUCCCGCAACGAGCGCAACCUUUUCCUAUUUGCCAGCGGGUCAUGCCGGGAACUUUAAGGAUACUGCCAGUGACAAACUGGAGGAAGGCGGGGACGACGUCAAGUCAUCAUGGCCCUUACGGCCAGGGCUACACACGUGCUACAAUGGUCGGUACAAAGGGUUGCUACCUCGCGAGAGGAUGCUAAUCUCAAAAAGCCGAUCGUAGUCCGGAUCGCAGUCUGCAACUCGGCUGCGUGAAGUCGGAAUCGCUAGUAAUCGCGGAUCAGAAUGCCGCGGUGAAUACGUUCCCGGGCCUUGUACACACCGCCCGUCACACCAUGGGAGUUUGUUGCACCAGAAGUAGGUAGUCUAACCGCAAGGAGGACGCUUACCACGGUGUGGCCGAUGACUGGGGUGAAGUCGUAACAAGGUAGGCGUAGAUGA
rnacentral:rRNA from 1 species